AUGACUCAGCAGCCAUGGACGCCACAUCUGCCUGGGAAUGUGGCCGCAACAGAUUGGUAUUUGUUGGAUGGCAACUCUAAGCUGCAUGUUCAUUGGGAGAAUCAUGAUGAAUCUUUGAUGAACACUGUCAAAGAUGAAAAGGCGAAUUCUUCGAUUCCCCGGGCUGUCAGGGAUUUUGUACUUCCAGCAGGUUUUCUAGGUGAAUGUUGGCAUCCCCGUGUGGUUUGGUUAUGCAUCGAUGCAUUGCUUUUGCUCUUUGUCAUGGAGUACUAA
rnacentral:rRNA from 1 species